rnacentral:rRNA from 1 species
UGUCUAGGGGCUCAAACCUAAAGAACCCAAAUAUCUAAACGGAGAGAUUCAAUACUGAAUUUAACACUCAGUGUGCACUUCUCUCUUAGUAAGACGCCGUGAUCCAUUAGAAAUUGGUAGACGCCAGUCUAUAUGAGGUCAUCAAUGGGCUUGUACGAAGUUUAUUGGAACGAAUGACAUAAUCUUUCAACGGUUGUGUGUAUUGUCUGGUAAGCGUGCGAGUACUCGUAAUGACUGUCUGAUGGAUUUUAAAGAUUGUAUCACUGAUGUUACGGCAUCACUCGCUUCGGCGAGCGUUUGAUAUGUAUCCGAUCAACGGCGGUUAAAUUUGGGAUACCUUUUGGACCCGUCUUGAAACACGGACCAAGGAGUCUAUCUAAUGUGCGAGUAAAUGAGUUGUAAACUUAUUUGCGUAAUAAACGUAACUAUUUAAUGGGAUUACGAGUCACCAUGCUCUUCCAUCCCGGAGUAUUUUCAUCCACAUAUACGCAAGUAUAUGGAAAAUAUAUCAUGAGCAUAUUGGAUACGACCCGAAAGAUGGUGAACUAUGCUUGAUCAGGUCGAAGUCAGGGGAAACCCUGAUGGAGGACCGAAGCAGUUCUGACGUGCAAAUCGAUUGUCAGAAUUGAGCAUAGGGGCGAAAGACCAAUCGAACCAUC